GGAUAAGUUCGCUAUACCGUGGGUAAUAUCCCGAUGGUUCUUUGAACCGCAUGGUUCAAACAUAAAAGGUGGCUUCGGCUACCACUUACAGAUGGACUCGCGGCGCAUUAGCUAGUUGGUGAGGUAACGGCUCACCAAGGCAACGAUGCGUAGCCGACCUGAGAGGGUGAUCGGCCACACUGGGACUGAGACACGGCCCAGACUCCUACGGGAGGCAGCAGUAGGGAAUCUUCCGCAAUGGACGAAAGUCUGACGGAGCAACGCCGCGUGAGUGAUGAAGGUUUUCGGAUCGUAAAGCUCUGUUGUUAGGGAAGAACAAGUACCGUUCGAAUAGGGCGGUACCUUGACGGUACCUAACCAGAAAGCCACGGCUAACUACGUGCCAGCAGCCGCGGUAAUACGUAGGUGGCAAGCGUUGUCCGGAAUUAUUGGGCGUAAAGGGCUCGCAGGCGGUUUCUUAAGUCUGAUGUGAAAGCCCCCGGCUCAACCGGGGAGGGUCAUUGGAAACUGGGGAACUUGAGUGCAGAAGAGGAGAGUGGAAUUCCACGUGUAGCGGUGAAAUGCGUAGAGAUGUGGAGGAACACCAGUGGCGAAGGCGACUCUCUGGUCUGUAACUGACGCUGAGGAGCGAAAGCGUGGGGAGCGAACAGGAUUAGAUACCCUGGUAGUCCACGCCGUAAACGAUGAGUGCUAAGUGUUAGGGGGUUUCCGCCCCUUAGUUGCUGCAGCUAACGCAUUAAGCACUCCGCCUGGGGAGUACGGUCGCAAGACUGAAACUCAAAGGAAUUGACGGGGGCCCGCACAAGCGGUGGAGCAUGUGGUUUAAUUCGAAGCAACGCGAAGAACCUUACCAGGUCUUGACAUCCUCUGACAAUCCUAGAGAUAGGACGUCCCCUUCGGGGGCAGAGUGACAGGUGGUGCAUGGUUGUCGUCAGCUCGUGUCGUGAGAUGUUGGGUUAAGUCCCGCAACGAGCGCAACCCUUGAUCUUAGUUGCCAGCAUUCAGUUGGGCACUCUAAGGUGACUGCCGGUGACAAACCGGAGGAAGGUGGGGAUGACGUCAAAUCAUCAUGCCCCUUAUGACCUGGGCUACACACGUGCUACAAUGGACAGAACAAAGGGCAGCGAAACCGCGAGGUUAAGCCAAUCCCACAAAUCUGUUCUCAGUUCGGAUCGCAGUCUGCAACUCGACUGCGUGAAGCUGGAAUAACUAUUAAUCGCGGAUGAGUAUGCCGCGGUGAAUAAUUUCCUGGGUCUUGUACACACGGCCCGUCACACCAGGAGAGUUUGUAAAAGGGGGAAGUUGGUGAGGUAAAAUUUUAGGAGAAAUCCGACGAUUGUGGG
rnacentral:rRNA from 1 species